ACGUCGAUUGCUCAGUUGGCAGAGCGGUGGACUGUAGAUCCAUAGAUUGCUGUUUCGACUCCUGCUCUGCGGA